UCCAUUUAUAGAUGCAUAUAUGUAAAUAAUGGUUCAGAUGGUAUAAAAAUGGGGCAAAAUUCAUGAAGGUGUUGGAUAAAUUCUAAAGUUUAGGAAAUAAUGUCUCUAGUCUAACAGGCCCCUGGCUGCUCUCUGAGCUAUUUUUUCUGACUUUUGCCCAUUUUUCCAGAACGUUCUAGGUUCUGGACAUGCCAAAUACCUGCUCAGGCUUCAAGGCCCAGCCGGUUGUCACCUCCUUCAUAAAGCCUCCCAGAGCCCUCAGUGGAUGAAAUUAUUCUUUGCCAAGCCUCUACUCUUCAUGCUCCUGUCUCAGACUGUGAACAAACUGAGGCACAGAGAGGCAGCUGGUCCUGUUUACAGGAGACAAGGGAAACCCAGAGCACUCAAGGUACUGGCAUUGCCAAGAGGACCCAGGCUGGGGAGGAUAUAAGUAUAAAAUCAAAUAAGCAUUCAGUAUCCACUCUGAUCAGGACUGCAUCAUCUCAAAUCUUCAUGGGGACUCUGAGAGUACUUGAAACCUCUGACUUCUAAUCCACCUUCAGUGAACUACACACCGAAUUUCUUGGAUGG